UACUCUCACACUUCCGAUCGUUUGGAUCAGGAGCGGUGGACUUGGGUGUUGCUGCUUUACUGUGGCUCACCUUAAAUGCAUUAGUGCACCUUUCGGUUGGACAUAGUACGGCGUGAUAAGUGUCUUCGCCGGCGCCUCACUUUGUUGAGGGUGGCCGAUCGGGAGCUCUGUGCUUCAAACCGUCUUCGGACAACAACUGACA
rnacentral:misc_RNA from 1 species